CAGCACUGGUUUGUAAACUUGGUUGUGGUGGGGGGGAAAUGCUCUGGUGUCUCCUCAGUGCUGCAAGAAGCGGAGCCGCUGAUGCACGAGCACGCCUGCUGCCGUACAAACCAGCGGUGCUCCAGGGUCUGCCCAGACCACCGACAAAAAGAAGGGCCUUUGCAGGCAGGGGUUUCAGGGAGCACACCGCUCUGCAAAAACCCUCUUUCUUUGAAGUCAGUUAAGUUUUGGCCAGUUGGCUUCAAGCUGUCAAGGAAUAAAGCUGAACUGAGGGGGAAAGGAGCAUUUAUUCCCAGCAACUAAAGAUAGGAAGGCUGAAAACAAGGACUUUCUCCAGGCAUCAAACCCCACCUCAUGGUUUCCAGUAAACUACUGGAACUACAAAACAAACAAAUGAAGAAAUGUCAAGGUAUAUUUACUCUCCUGUUAGCCUCCUGUUCUGCUCCCUCUCUGGCGCCUUUUGGCAGCAUGCAAGGGUGCACCCCAGUGCUGUGUCCUGGGAAGGGGGCAUGGCUGUGAUCCUGGUUGGGGUGAGGUGACUGAAUGAGUACCUGGCUUGCAACUCCUGCUCUCCGGCUAUCACAGCGUGGAAAGGGUGCUGGAGGGGAGCCUGCGUUGGGAAGAGCGGUGCUCGGGGCUGUGCCAGCCCUUUGCGCUGUCUGCUCUCAGCGAGGCAGAAAACCGGUUCUAAAGGGGAACUCGCACACACCUGUUUGCAGCUGAAGCCAGAGCAGCUUAUGUUAGAGGUCACCCGGACUUGACUGCCAUCAAAUAUUGGCUGCAAGUGAGACGGGUUUCUUGAAUGCCAUGUUUUACUUGGUGACACAUCCAGAACUUCUGGGAAGAGCUUUUUCAAAUAAGAUUGUCCUCAAACUUUUUGCAAGUCUCUUUUAUUCUUUUCUUCUUCUUCCUUCUUAUAAAGACAAUUAGGCAAUCACAGCAUUUUGAUGAUGUUGUUUCUUAGCCUCUUGCUUCGUAGCUCAUGGCCUUCCUGAAGAAUCAAGGAGAUGCUGAUAAAUUGGGUGUAGGAGACUUGCCUGCUGUUCCUUUCCCUGUCUAACGUUCCUCCCUGAGCUACCCUUGGAGUGCAUCCUGCCCCUAGUUGUUCUGUUAACUUGUCUCUACUUGUAACACUCUGUACAUAAACCACAACCGGGUGCUUUUUGCUCUGAUUGAAAUCAUGCUGUGUAAAAGAAAAUACAAAUUAGCUCUGGCCUUUGGGCUCCUGACAAGUUUCCAGCGCUGCUUUCAGCACCACAGAGACCGUGUAACUCUGUGUCCUUCGUGCAGUGACGUCUCCUGCUCCGUCAUGAGCUGGGCUGGCUGCCGCACAUCCACGUUCAGCCGUUAAUACUUCAAGCAGCUUUUAGCACUGAAGGAGGAAGAGAGAUUGCCAGCAGCUGGGUGAAAUGCAGGAACCUGCUUUUUCUUGCUAGGGGACAAUAACGUGGGAAGGGGUAAAAGGAGGAGGAUUUCCUGGGUAAUUCCCCAAACCUUGAUGUUUGUGCAAAUACUUCCUGGUCUAAUGUAUGCCAAGUGAUUGGGGAGCUCAGCAUGGGGAGAGCUAAUGCUUCAGUACAGGAUUAACCCUUGAAUGAAGAGUACGGUAGCAUCUUAUACAAACUAUGGCUUAAGUUUGUCAGACCUUUCAUGCAAUGAAGCACAGGACACUUCCCUGCCUCCUUCAGGGAUUCAGGCCAUGCACACCAUUUCAGCGUUGCUGAGGCUGCAGCUAUCAUGUCGCAUUUUCAGCAGAAACCUUUAAGCCUCAGCAACUUCCUCCAAGGAUGCUGAACCAAACGUCACCCAGACCCACGAGUUACAGAUGACAUCGCUGGUUCGAAAUGGUGUGUGGGAACGAUGUGGGCGAAUGUUCCCUACACUGGGUGUUUUCUAAAGGUCUCUGAAGCAUAAGGCAUGACUGAAUGACUUGUGUUUUCUCUAAAUGACGAGUGGGUGAAUCUUGAAUCAUUGGGCUGCUUUUAUUUUUGUUAGAUGUGUGUGGGCUGACAACAUGACUCAGUAUUUUCUCUGCAGAUGCAAAGAUCAUAUUGCCAAUUCUGGGUAUACUUCAGGCAGUUUCAUGCAGAGAACUGGAAUGCUUUUCUAGUCUGGAGCUUUGCUUUUUGGCAGCCUUAAGCUUCUUGAUGUGAAAAUAAGCAAUUAAUUUUAAAAAUGAGUGCUUUGCCAAAAUGUACAAAAAUACAAUGAAGAAAUGGCCGAACAUUUGAAAACUACCUCUGCCCCCAUGUUUUCCCAACAAUUUAUCUGAUUAUUUUUGUUAUUCUGGAAAGGUCCAUAAAUGUCUGAUUUUUCUUUCUGAUUCUCCCUAGUCUCAGUUACUGCUGGGUGAUCUCUUUGGCUGCUGAGUAUCAUCUCUGCUAUUAGUUCAACCAGCCGUGCGCUGCUGGGUGAGAGCCACUGGCCUCUGAGCGAUGGUUGUGAGUUCUCCCCCUCCUCCCAAGAGACAAGUAGGCAUAUUUGUGGAUACAUGUAUGUGGUUCAGCCAGUACUCAGAGCUGACACAGAAGUCCCAGAAAAUUUCACUUUCUCCCUGCUGGAAACCUCCCUGCCACACUCCCCCUUCUUUAUCUUCCCUUUAUGCCAUGUACAGUGUAUGGCAUGUGAUUGAGAGAUGCAUGAGGCCAGGCAUGGGCUGUGGACGCUUUUAUUUUGCAAUGGUGAGUGCCCUCUUCUCCCACACCCUCUUCUCUGCUGCUGAGCAGAGUGCUGGUAGUCAUGUCCUUGACUUAGCAAGCAACCUUGACUUAGCAAGCAAGAACAGGUUGCUUGCUAAGACCCUUACCUGUAAUCAUAGCCCAGCAUCCUAGGGCCACUGAUAAACCAUUUUUCCCUGGUGAUACCAGCCCUCAGCCCACCAUAAACCUUGCUGAAGAUCUGGGAAUGCCUAGACAAUAACAGACUUGUGGGUGAAGGAUGCUGUAUGGCAAAGGUUGUCUUUUGGGAGAUCAGAAGAUGUUCUGCCUUAUAGAUGUAUUCUGUAGAGCAUGCAGGGUGAAAUGAAUUGCAUACACCCUGCUUUUUUUGAUCUGUAACAGCAACUGUAACAGUAACUUCAACCACAGAAAAAUUCCCACGCUCAACCGCUAGCAAUGGCCUUGGCUAACGUGACCUGUACUUAGCACUGUGACCCAAACCCCACUAUGAUCCCAACUCUAUACUGGCCCAUACAACAGAGAGCCAUACCUCACCCAUAGCUAAUUAUAAGCUAUGUGCAUAAGCAUGUAUUGUAGUUCUAGGGGACUGUAUAAUUUUCCUAUUGUUCUAGUUCCUCAGUACUAAGAUCUACUCCCUAUUCCUGACAUUUUCUCUAGCCUCUGCUGCCCACCCAUGGUAAUAACUAACUCCAAACUUAAGGUUGAGCACAUCCAUUGUCCCUCCAGACCUCACAGGAAGUGAUUUGAUUUGGUUAGCUCAAGUGCCUUUGCAGCCCUGUCCCAGAAUGGUAAGAACUGGGCACCAGACCUUAUAAUAUCUCUUCAAUCCUCACAUUAUUCAGGAAUAAUCCUACACUUUCAGCCCUUUUUCCCCCGAAGUCUGAUUCCAGCCUUAACCAUAAACUAUCAGCCAACACCCCUUCAAACAUAACCCCAAGCCUUCUGCCUUGGUGAGUACCAGCACCCAGGCUUGCCCUGAGGAGCAAAGAAAGAGGUGGUGUGCUCUUUAGUCCUUGAUGCCCCAGUCCCCAACCUUGACUUUCGUGUCUACAGACCUGAUGCGCUUUACAUAUGGGCCUGUACCUCUGAGUGCUGGAGUCCUCCACCCCUGCCAGCCCCCACCCUCCUGACUGUGUUUCCAAGGUCUUUGCUGGAGUCCAGGUACGGGGCUGGGGGCAGCCAGUGGGGCUUGCUGGGUGUAGAGGUUGGAAGCUGUGUUUGUCAAGGGUUGUGCUCAAUAGGGCAGGGCACAUUUUGGUGGAGAUUAAGGUGCAAAGAUUUUGUUUGGGCAUGGCUUGAAGGAUGAACUGGCUUGCUCCAGCUGCUGAGGGGAUGGUAGGACGGGUGCAACCUAGAGCAUGGGCCAAGGGGGAAUAUGACAGUGUCUGUACAUCAGUGAGACAGCAGGGAGAUGAUCACAGAGAAGCAGCGCUGGGUUAGGGAUGAUUAGAACAGCCUGAGAAUGGCCAAUGUGUUCCAGUGACCCUGCUCCUUUCUUAAGCUUCAUUGACCCUACCUGCUUACUUCUCAUUGCCUUUCCACUGGUUCUUCAUCACCGUCCUCGGUCCUUGACCCAAGUCUGGGUCUCCAGAGCUACUUGCUGCUCCAGCGCUAGUUCUUCAGCCCUCCCCAGCCCUGUGGCACUGCUGCCUUGCCUGCUUUCGGCAGUCAGAGCGCAUCCAAGGGGCCAAGCACAUGAACAUGAGGUUGCUUAUUACAAGACGCCCUGCACCCCAUAUUUCAUGUUGGCAUGUUUUCCUGGUUGGGAGCUGAGGAAUGAAAGUGCUAUGGCCCCAGGUCUCUUCAGGUGUCAACUUCUUGCUGUGAAUAAUGAGCUUGCUUUGGGUUGGGCUUGACACUUGCUUCAUUUAUUUAUUUGUAUUCAAAGUUGGUAUUGCAUGUUUUGUUUCUAAAUGGCAUUUAAUAAGACUGUCAUAUAAAAGCUCCACAAGUUUCUGCAAAGAAUACUUACUAAAAGUGGUUUUGUAACCCUUACAGUGUGUGGUCUUUGGCUUUUCUGAACUUUUGCUGUGUCACAUUUAAAUAUUGUUUAGUAUAGUUGGAAAGAAAGCUUGGAAAGAGAAAAGAUGUCAGAGAGCAGAUUAGAACAAGAGGGAGGUGGAGCUGGUUAUGCUUCUUUUUUGCAACAGAUGAAGUCGGUAUUCCCCACCUGCUGAAGGAGUACCUACAGCAGACUGUAUCACCAACACACCUUAUUCUGAAAUAAAUUACAACAACAAAAGGAUGUUGUUUCUGGCAGUAGACAAAGUGCUUAUUAAAUGGUGAGCUUUGCUUUGCAUGCUUAAGGUCGCAACUUCUUUCUUUUCCAAAAAAACUAAGUUUGUUGCAGUAAUCGAGGUUGGUGAAGGGAAGGUCCCCACAGAGUGCUGAGACCAGCCUGCUUCCUCGUUCUUUGCACUCUCAUCAUUGGGCAACUUUCUUCUCUGUCAAGUGAAAACUUCCUUGUCCAGCCCAGUAACACUGGGCUCACCCUGAACAAAACAAGGUCUUCUCCCCACAUAACGCCCAUUAGGCAGCGUCACACCCCUCUCUUACAGGAAUACCCAUCGGAGUGCUUUAUGAAGGUGAUUAAGGGUUUCGUCAUUUGCAGACACCUCCUGAAGCACAAUAUGUGUGUGUUUUUAUGGCCACUUUUGGAUAAAGGCACCACUGCAGCUGGUAACUGCAAUUUCAAGAUAAAACUCGCCAUGUGUCAGCCUAAGAAACAGCAAAUAAAGGAGCAAGGAAUUGCUCAUUUUCAGACUCCAGCAUGGCUACAUACGCUUACUGAUGCUUUGUUGCACAAAUGCAGAAUAAGAACUUUAACCUGAAUGAUUGUCUCUUUGUAGUUAUUGUAUUACCUGUAAUUGUUUCUGCAAGAGCUUGCAGGCUCUGCCAUUAAUAUGCAUCUUUCUGGGUGUGCUUUUGAAUAAGAUUAAUAAAGGAAAACAGUAUUUUUCAUGAGAAA